GACGAACGCUGGCGGCGGGCUUAACACAUGCAAGUCGAAGGAGAAGGUAAAAGCUUGCUUUUACUGGAGACUGGCGGACGGGUGAGUAACGCGUAGAUAACCUGCCUUUGCCUGGGGGAUAACACUGCGAAAGUGGUGCUAAUACCGCAUAAUGCAGCGGGGCCGCAUGGCCAUAGUUGUCAAAGGAGAAAUCCGGGUAAAGAUGGGUCUGCGUACUAUUAGCUAGUUGGUAAGGUAAUGGCUUACCAAGGCGAUGAUAGUUAGGGGGUCUGAGAGGAUGAUCCCCCACACUGGAACUGAGACACGGUCCAG
rnacentral:rRNA from 1 species